GAUGAACGCUGGCGGCGUGCCUAAUACAUGCAAGUCGAGCGAACAGAUAAGGAGCUUGCUCCUUUGACGUUAGCGGCGGACGGGUGAGUAACACGUGGGUAACCUACCUAUAAGACUGGGAUAACUUCGGGAAACCGGAGCUAAUACCGGAUAACAUUUGGAACCGCAUGGUUCUAAAGUGAAAGAUGGUUUUGCUAUCACUUAUAGAUGGACCCGCGCCGUAUUAGCUAGUUGGUAAGGUAACGGCUUACCAAGGCGACGAUACGUAGCCGACCUGAGAGGGUGUGGGGCCACACUGGAACUAGAACACGGUCCAACCCCCUAGGGAGGACAGCAUUGGGAAACUUCCCGCAUGGGCGAAAGGCCUGCCGGGGCAACGCCGCGUAGGGGAUGAAGGGUUUCGGUCCGAAAAACUCUGUUAUAGGGAAGAACAAAUGUGUAAGUAACUGUGCACGUCUUGACGGUACCUAAUCAGAAAGCCACGGCUAACUACGUG
rnacentral:rRNA from 1 species